AGAGUUUGAUCAUGGCUCAGACCGAACGUUAGCGGCGCGCCUAACACAUGCAAGUCGCACGAGAAAGGGCUUCGGCCCCGGUACAGUGGCGCACGGGUGAGUAACACGUGGGUAAUGUUCCCUCGGGCGGGGGAUAACCUUCCGAAAGGAGGGCUAAUACCGCAUAAGACCACGUCUCCGAGAGGGGAUGAGGUCAAAGCAGGCCUCUUCAUGAAAGCUUGCACCUGAGGAUCAGCCCGCGGCCCAUCAGCUAGUUGGUAGGGUAACGGCCUACCAAGGCUAAGACGGGUAGCUGGUCUGAGAAGGAUGAUCAGGCCACACUGGAACUGAGACACGGUCCAGACUCCUACGGGAGGCAGCAGUGGGGAAUCUUGCGCAAUGGGCGAAAGCCUGACGCAGCGACGCCGCGUGGGUGAUGAAGGCCUUCGGGUUGUAAAGCCCUGUGGGGAGAGACGAAUAAGUCGGAGCCAAUACCUCCGGCGAUGACGGUAUCUCCUUAGCAAGCACCGGCUAACUCUGUGCCAGCAGCCGCGGUAAGACAGAGGGUGCAAACGUUGUUCGGAAUUACUGGGCGUAAAGCGUGUGUAGGCGGCCGUGCAAGUCGGAUGUGAAAGCCCCGGGCUCAACCCGGGAAGUG
rnacentral:rRNA from 1 species